GACUUUCCCCCACCUCCCUGCUCUGAUAGUUUCCUCCGAGUCGUGGCAGCAGGAAACGCAGUGGAGCUCCAGUGACCCCUCAGAGGCCCGCUGCUUAGCGACACAGCUCGCCUGUGUCCUUGCCAGCCUCACACAGCCCCCAGUCUGGUCUCAGGACGGUUCUGUUCUGAAUCUAUCUCCCCCACCAGAGGAGUCCAGCCGCGACCAGCCGGACGACAGGAAGGACCUGCCAUGGGGUGCCCAGUUUGAGCUGCCUCCAGUGCUCCUGGAGAGGGACAGAUGAGAACACUCUCCAUGUGCCGGAAGUCAGCUUCACCUUCCCCAGAGCCAUGUGGCAAAGCAGUACAAGCCCAAGCAGGGUGCCCCUCCUGCCCUGGGACAUCAGAGGGUCCAGAGACAGUGGAGACCAACGCCACAGCCCACUGCCCCCUGACCACCCCUACAAGUGCCCAGACAGCAGCACCAAGAAGCCAAGAAGACCAAAAUAGAUGGCGGUGGUGUCAGGCAGUGCCGGCUGCAGGGAAGACCACAGCACCAGUCCCUGGCACAGGAUCUCGUCUUAGCCCUGACGCUGGAUGUGUGAGAUGGUGGACUCUCUUGGCAGGGACACUUUGGGGGCAGGACCCCCCAGCCCAGCUUCCCACAGCCCUUGUGCCAGAGCCAGUGGCUGCCUCCUUGCAGGAAAAGAGCCAUGCAUGGAGUGUGGGGGCCCUUCCCAAGGGCCUUUUUGAGGUCACUCUCAAUUGUAGAGGCUUUUCCUGGGAUGGCUCCACAUCGUGGUUUCUGCUCUGGGAGGACGCUGUCUGUGGCGGGGGUACGCUAGGCCAUUGCCCAGCCUUGGGGGUCACGCUACAGAAGCUGCUGGGGACAGCCAAGCGGCCACAGGCUACAGGGUCAGGAAGAACGUGUCUCCUACCCCCACAAGAUUGGGCCAGCCUGCAGAGUGGCCCGGGUCCCUUCCCUGUGCCACACAGGCUUCCGUGUAAGUGCACACCAGGGAAAGACUAG
rnacentral:lncRNA from 1 species